rnacentral:rRNA from 1 species
UACAGAGGGUGCAAGCGUUGUUCGGAAUUAUUGGGCGUAAAGGGUGUGUAGGCGGUUCUCUAAGUUUGGUGUGAAAUCUCCCGGCUCAACCGGGAGGGUGCGCCGAAAACUGGGGGACUCGAGUGCGGGAUGGGAGAGUAGAAUUCCUGGUGUAGCGGUGAAAUGCGUAGAUAUCAGGAGGAACACCGGUGGUGUAGACGGCUUUCUGGACCGUAACUGACGCUGAGACACGAAAGCGUGGGUAGCAAACAGG